UACGAAAGGUGCAAGCGUUACUCGGAAUCACUGGGCGUAAAGCGCGCGUAGGCGGUCUUGUAUGUCGAUUGUGAAAGCCCCGGGCUUAACUUGGGAAUUGCGCUCGAAACUACGUGGCUGGAGUGUGGCAGAGGAAGGUGGAAUUCCAGGUGUAGCGGUGAAAUGCGUAGAGAUCUGGAGGAACACCGAUGGCGAAGGCAGCCUUCUGGGCCAACACUGACGCUCAUGCACGAAAGCGUGGGGAGCAAACAGG
rnacentral:rRNA from 1 species